rfam:Denitrovibrio acetiphilus DSM 12809, complete genome.
AAAGAAGGUCGUUCAGUUGCCGGCACACUUGAUGUGCGGGAGGAAAGUCCGGACACCGCAGGGCAGGAUGGCUGAUAACGUCAGCCUGGUGUGAAUCAGGGAAAGUGCCACAGAAAACAAACCGCCUUUUAAAGGUAAGGGUGAAACGGAGGUGUAAGAGACCCCCGCUGAUGCUGGUGACAGCACAGGCAAGGCAAACCCCAUCCGGUGCAAUGCCAAAUAGGCAGACCAACUAAGAUUGCCCGUUUUUUAUGGUCUGCGGGUAGGCAGCUUGAUCAUAUUGGCAACAAUAUGGCUAGAUAAAUGACUGAAGAUAACAGAAUCCGGCUUACAGACCUUCUUUCACU